CAAGGUCCAAGGUUCAAGGUUCAAAGUUCCAAGGCUCAGGCUGGUUCGAAGGCCUGAGAGGACUGGACUUCACUAGGGUUUAUGAUGGUCCUCCUUUCUUCACUCUGAGAGUUCAGUCAUGGCUUUCCUCCGCCUAGCUUUCUCCACAUAGUUUUCCCAAUAUUUUCUUACAAUAAUGAGGUAUUUUGGAAGCAUUGUCCCUCAGCUGUCAAGGAAUCUCAAGCUCCGCAUCACUCAGAACCCUACCUUUUGUGAUUCGUUAAACCCUAAUUCUCAUUUAUGGAACCGUUUGAAUUUUGUACUGAAAUACACUUCCUCUGCGCAAGUCCCCUCCGAGAGGGUUUCGUCCAUCGUAGACGAGAUCUCCGGUCUCACCUUAUUAGAGGUUUCUGAUCUGACGGAACUUUUGCGCAAAAAAUUGGAUAUAAAUGAAAUGCCGGUGAUGGCGGUGAUGAUGCCGGGCAUGGGGUUCGGGGUGAGAGGGGCCGGCGGAGCGGCGCCAAAGGCGGCAGAGGUGAAGGCGGCUGAGAAGACGGCGUUCGAUUUGAAGCUAGAGGCGUUCGAUGCGGCGGCGAAGAUUAAGAUUAUUAAGGAAGUGAGGACGUUUACGGAUUUGGGAUUGAAGGAGGCAAAAGAUUUGGUGGAGCAUGCGCCGACACUUUUGAAGAAGGGGGUGCCAAAGGAGGAGGCGGAGAAUAUCAUUGAGAAGAUGAAGGCGGUGGGCGCCAAGGUCACCAUGGAAUAAGGCACCCAACAGGAAUGACAAACCGACAACGAGGAGAAGGAUAGAGCUUGAUGCUGGGGAAUGACUGGCAACCUGAUUACCUGAAGCAACCUUAACACCUUUGAAUGAUACUCUUAAGGGAUGGAGAGAAUAACUCAUUGUUCAGAUGAUAUUGUCUGCUCUAAAGUACCACCAUCGGGCCUCCAACAUAUUGAACCCUUCAUGAUUGAUCUAAUCAACAGUUCAAUUGGGAAACCUGGGCUUUCUUAGUUGUGAUGAUAUGUGAAUGAAUGAGGGAGCUUUUUGGCCGGAGGGCUAUUUGUCACUUGUUGGAGAGCCUGUAGCUAUUCAUUGUUGCAUGUUUUAAUGAUUAAGUUGUUCAAAUUCAAAUGCCACCUUGAAUGGAUUUAAUAGCCUGCUAUGUAACUUUUCAGAAAAUGAGGGUCGUUAGUGACAUUUACAGGAGCAAA